rnacentral:sRNA from 1 species
GCUGAGCGCGGUGGCGCACGCCUAUAAUCCCUGCAACUCAGGAGGCUGAGGCAGGAGGAUCGUAAGCUCAAACCAGCCUCAGCAAAAGCGAGGCCCUGAGCAACUCAGUGAGACCCUGUCUCUA